GGUGACCAAAGAUACCCCAAAAGUACGAAUAGUCUCUUCUAGCAAUAUGGCACCCAACACUAGCAAAACAAGGUUGAUUGUCUGCAAAACUACAAUUGCUCUCCUUGUUGUUGUGAUGAUGUGUUCUAUGUUGCCAUCAUCUCAUGCAGUUGGAAUAUGGAGGUGCAAGACUUUAAAAGAUUGCACUUCUGCGUCGUGCCACUCUUAUUGCAAAAAAGGAAAACAUUUUGGUCACAAGAUUGGUUCCAUGUGCAAUGGUAAGGAUGGGUGUUGCUGCGGAAAAAAGAGUGCGAUGCAAAAAUGACAUCACCGGUGGUGAUCAUGCUUGUGUAAAACAAUAUGAAUAAAAUCAUUUCUUGUAAAUGAUCAAUAUGCAUUUUACGCAUUAAUAAAUCUUAAUUUAGUAACUUUUGUUUCUUAUUGGACUCUAUUUUGCCGA